CCCGCUGAACUUAAGCAUAUCAGUAAGCGGAGGAAAAGAAACUAACGAGGAUUCCCCUAGUAACGGCGAGUGAAGCGGGAACAGCCCAUGGUAGAAACUUGGCACAGAGUGUCACGUAAUGUACCGUGGAGAGUGGGAGAUUUACUAGUUGACACAUGCAAGUUCUUUGGAAAGAGACGGCAAAGAGGGUGAAACCCCCGUGGCAUGUGAACUCUAGUCAAUCUUGUGCUCAGCGAGUCGGAUUGUUUGGGAAUGCAAUCCCAAUUGGGUGGUACGCGCCAUCUAAGGCUAAACAAGGGCAAGAGACCGAUAGCAAACAAGUACCGUGAGGGAAAGAUGAAAAGGACUCUGAAGAGAGAGUCAAAAGUGCGUGAAAUUGCAGCAAGGGAAACGAACGGGGGAUGUGGAUGGUUGUGUGUAGCAGGGUGACGAGGAGUGAGUGAAGGUAGUGACAGGAAUGUCAAACUUAUAGCACUGAUUGACUAGUUAUUCGCAACAGGCAACCAGAUUCCCUUGUUUGACCCGUCUUGAAACACGG
rnacentral:rRNA from 1 species